GGUGGGGGGGGGGGGGGGGGCUAGUGGGUGGAGGUCGAGGGGGCGGGCGGGGGUGUUGCUGCUCGGGCGUUGGCUGCGGCCGGGUGGUUACGGCGUGGGUAGCCUACGUAUGAGACUGAGAUCACUUGGUGAGACCGUGGCUCAUACAGGAUAAGAUAUUGCGCGGCAUGUUUCCCUCGUGCACUACGUGUUUGCUGUCACUUAUCGAUCUGUUCGCUCCGGAUUAUCUAUGUGUUAAGGUACAUGCUUGCCCAGGCAACGAUGCGUAGCCGACCUGACCGGGUGAUCGGCCACACUGGAACUGAGACACGGUCCACACUCCUACGGGAGGCAGCAGUAGGGAAUCGUCCGCAAUGGGCUAAAGCCUGACGUAGCAACGCCGCGUGAGUGAUGAAGGUCUUAGGAUCGUAAAACUCUUGUAUUAGGGAAGAACAAAUGUGUAAGUAACUAUGCACGUCUUGACGGUACCUAAUCAGAAAGCCACGGCUAACUACGUG
rnacentral:rRNA from 1 species